UGAUGUCUGACUGAGUUUCACAAAGUAGACAUGAUGAAAGAAAAAGCCUGUUUUGCAUGUUGUACUACUGACCCUGUUCUAUAUUAAUCUGAGAGAGUGCACACUGUGCGGGGAGAGCUGUCAGUGCACCGAGAAAAAAGACAACAGAACGACCAACUACAACCAGUUUAACACUAUCUAUGGAUUUAAACUAGAAUACCUGCAGUGGAAAUACAACAGAGACAGAAGUGAGAACGAGAUCAGUUUAUAGGAUUCUGGCUGUAUCCUCAACCCGGACAUAAGGUCAAAGGUCAAACCUGGGCACGUCUGAUCGGUCUGAACAGAUUUCCUGUUUUUUUCCUGACCUGCUGAGUGCAGUGACAGACUAAUGGGAGAGAAUCUGUCAUUAGGAAUAUGAAGCUGAUCGGAAAAUGCCUCCCUCUGUGGGUUUUUUGUCAGAGGAUCCAUUAAUAAUGUGGUUUGUCUCUCCUGGUCGGCACCAACGAGUCUGCAACAGACAAAAUAAUCAAUGAUGGGGGCCGAUUCUUCGCUGUUUCACUGUGAAAACUGAGUUCAACUGUGAUUGCAGUUUUUCUCCAGUCCGGGUGUGAUGGGGGUGGUGAUGAUGCUGCACGGUGCGCCCCUGUCCUGCCCUGCGCAUCCUCAGCGUGCACCAACCCGGACAACAAAACCCCGAGGGACGCCGAGAGAGAGGAGCAACGCAGCGAAACAAGAAGAGAUGGAGACAGAGAGAGAGAGAGAUGUUGGUGGUGGUGGGGGGAGGUUGGAGAGAAGGGAUGGCCGUCCGGCAUGCAGGACUCACCAGUCGGUGUCCGAGGUCUCGUCAAUGACGUCCUGGUAGGCGGUCAGCAGGGCCAGUCUGUUCUUGCCGAGAUUCACAGCCAUGUUUCUGUCCCUGCAAGCAUCCAGACCGCUGCUGAUGGAGAGAGACACGAAA